GACGAACGCUGGCGGCGUGCUUAACACAUGCAAGUCGAACGGAAAGGCCCUGCUUGCAGGGUACUCGAGUGGCGAACGGGUGAGUAACACGUGGGUGAUCUGCCCUGCACUUCGGGAUAAGCCUGGGAAACUGGGUCGAAUACCGGAUAGGAGCCAUUUUGAGUGUGAUGGUUGGAAAGUUUUUUCGGUGUAGGAUGAGCUCGCGGCCUAUCAGCUUGUUGGUGGGGUAAUGGCCUACCAAGGCGGCGACGGGUAGCCGGCCUGAGCGGGUGGACGGCCACAUUGGGACUGAGAUACGGCCCAGACUCCUACGGGAGGCAGCCGUGGGGAAUAUUGCACGAUGGGCGCCAGCCUGAUGCAGCGACGCCGCGUGGGGGAUGACGGCCUUCGGGUUGUAAACUCCGUUCGCUAGGGACGAAGCUUUUUGUGACGGUACCUAGAUAAGAAGCACCGGCUAACUACGUG
rnacentral:rRNA from 1 species